rnacentral:rRNA from 1 species
AUUGAACGCUGGCGGCAGGCCUAACACAUGCAAGUCGAACGAGUGGCGGACGGGUGAGAAACGACUGGGAAACUGUCCGAUGGAGGGGGAUGAUUAUUGGAAACGGUAGCUAAUAGCGCAUAACAUCGGUUGUGCCAUGAUUGGAUUAGCUAGUAGGUGGGGUAACGGCACACCUAGGCGACGAUCCCUAGCUGGUCUGAGAUGAUGACCAGCCACACUGGAACUGAGACUCGUUCCAGACUCCUACGUGAGGCAGCAGUGGGGAAUAUUGCACAAUGGGCGCAAUCCUGAUGCAGCCAUGCCGCUUGUAUGAAGAAGUCCUUCGGGUUGUAAAGUACUUUCAGCGAGGAGGCGUUACUCGCAUAAUAGGCACCGGCUAACUCCGUGCCAGCAGCCGCGGUAAUUC